rnacentral:misc_RNA from 1 species
CUGUCAAGGUAGCUUUAUCGAGCAGCCUCCUCAGUGCCUUCUCAACGAAAAACAUCAUUUACAGACAAAAAAAAAAGGAAGCGCUCCGACACCCCACUACGAUGAAGCGCACUAUCUUUGCAUGGACGAGGAAAUUCGAUGUUUGCGUGCUAGGCGGUGGUCCAGCCGGCAUCGCCGCGGCCGUCCGCGCGUACGAACUAGGGAAAAAGGCCUGCAUUAUUGAAGAGUCCCGUAUCGGCGGUGCUGACUUUUGGAAUGGCGCGCUGCAGUCCAAGACAUUGUGGGAAAUGGCGAAAUUCGCGCGAUACACCAUGGGCAACACGUCUCACCGUUUCAUGAAGUCCGUUGGCGAGCUUCCAAAGAUAAAGCACAGCAACCUCCUCAAGGCCAUCACGAACGCCGCCGAAACGCGCGAAACUCAGACGCUGGAGGUUCUCGCCAACGCCGAAAUCGAGGUGCUUUUCGGAUUCGGUUCUUUUAAGACGCCGAACUCGGUAGCUGUCGCGAAGAAAGAUGGCACGGAGGAAACUGUCGAGGCGGAUUACUUUGUGAUUGCCACAGGUGCCCACCCACGACCUCACCCAACUGCCGUCGCCGACGGAAAGGUUGUCUUCACCUCCGAUGAUAUAAUGAUGCAACCGCUUCCCAAGAGUGUUGUUAUUAUCGGCGCGGGUGUCAUCGGAUGUGAGUUCGCGUCAAUUUUCGCCAAUUUCGGAGUCACGCAAGUGAAUAUUAUUGAAAAAAGCGGCCGUAUUUUGCCUAUGGAGGACGAAGAUAUCUCACUCUUCGUACAAACACUUCUUGAGCAAAAAGGUGUUUGUUUUCAUCAUCACUCCGCGAUGGAGAGCAGUAGCAUCAAUGAUGGAAAGUUCCACUACACUCUUAGAGAUGUCCGUGACAACUCUAUUCAUCAUCAUGUCACGGACAGCGCUCUGGUCUCCAUCGGACGCGUGCCAGCCAUUUCAAAGCUGAAUUUGGAGGCAAUCGGCGUCACGGUAAAAAACAACCGCAUCGACCGAGACGAAUUCCUUCGCAUUGAACCACACAAACACAUCUAUGCUUGUGGAGAUACCUGCACGCGUGUCGCCCUCGUCAACGUCGCUGAACUGGAGGGACGUGCAUGCAUCGAACAUAUGUACACACCAUAUCCCGAGGAGCAAUUGAAGCUCAAGCUGGACAAUCUCUCCACCAUCAUGUUCCUUGAUCAAGAAGUGGCAGCUGUCGGACUAAAUGAGCAGCAGUGUCAAAAGAUGUCCAUCAGCUACAAGAUGGCACGAUACAGCUACGAAUACGUAGGGCGUGCAUUAGCUAUGGGCAACACGAGAGGUUUUAUCAAACUAGUUGUAACAAACGACAAAAAGAUGCAAGUUCUCGGCGUGCGCGCAGUGGGUCCCCAUGCAAGCAGUAUUAUUGAGCUCGCAUCGCUGGCUAUCCACAACCGUGACUCUGCACACGACUUGCGCAAUCUUCACGCCGUCUACCCCGCUAUCACUCAAGGAUUCCAAGAGUGUCUUCAUAUGCUUUUAGGCUCCUCGAUUUUGAAACCUGACGUCUUCCCGAAACUUGUUGUUCGGGAAUGGAAUCCACCUCAUUUCGAGCACGGGCGCGCGUACGCGCACAAUAAAUGAAACCGUUUUUGUGCUAUGUGUGAAGAAGGUUGUUUUCGUUGUUGCACAGCCGCUUCCAGAAUCAUGCAGUUGUGUUCGUUGCUACUGUUUUAUGAUCAACAACAUAAUUAGCCCCCUGCCAUAUCCGACAGUUG